GACGAACCGAGCGAACGUUGUUCGGAAUCACUGGGCUUAAAGGGCGCGUAGGCGGGCUGUCAAGUCUGGGUGAAAUCCCACGGCUCAACCGUGGAACUGCCUAGAUACUGACGGCCUCGAGGAGAUAGGCGAGCGACUGUGAGUGAGCGGUGAAUGCGUGAUAUCACAGACUCGUGCGAGCGCUCGCUGAUCUUUUUUACUGACGCUGAG
rnacentral:rRNA from 1 species